rnacentral:rRNA from 1 species
CGCGUAGGCGGUGGUAUAAGUCUGGGGUGGAAUCCUACAGCUUAACUAUAGGACUGCCCUGGAAACUGUAUUACUUGAGUCGGACAGGGGAAGGCGGAAUUCCUGGUGUAGCGGUGAAAUGCGUAGAUAUCAGGAGGAAGGCCUGUGGUGAAGACGGCCUUCUGGGUCUUGACUGACGCUGAGGCGCGAAAGCGUGGGUAGCAAACAGGAUUAGAUACCCUGGUAGUCCACGCCCUAAACGGUGGGUACUAGGUGUGGGAUCUGUAAGGGUUCUGUGCCGAAGGGAAACCAUUAAGUACCCCGCCUGGGAGGUACGGCCGCAAGGUUGAA